rnacentral:rRNA from 1 species
UACGUAGGGUGCGAGCGUUACUCGGAAUUACUGGGCGUAAAGCGUGCGCAGGCGGUUUUGUAAGCCAGGUGUGAAAUCCCCGGGCUUAACCUGGGAAUGGCAUUUGGGACUGCAAGGCUUGAGUGCGGCAGAGGAGACUGGAAUUCCUGGUGUAGCAGUGAAAUGCGUAGAUAUCAGGAGGAACACCGAUGGCGAAGGCAGGUCUCUGGGCCGAUAUCGACGCUGAGGAGCGAAAGCCAGGGGAGCAAACGGG